rnacentral:lncRNA from 10 species
CAAAUAUUGAGAUGACUUAGUCUAUCUGCCUCGUUUUCUCCAGGAGAUCAUCCCUGGAUCUUCUGGCUGGGCCAGUCUGCACUGGUUGUUCCCAGGGUCUGUUACAAAGCUGGUGGCUUGAGAUCUCCCUUUACUAUGUUAUUGGAGCUUCCCGUUCCCUUGUUUCGGGGUCCUCUUUGUGCUGGGUGACAUGUCUUCCUUCUUGGUGGAGCAUAUCCUUUGCAGUGGAAUCCUGAGACAGUGCAUGACAGACAAAAUAUGGACACAUGGCACAUAUCUGAAAAUGUCUCCAUUCUGCCCUCACAUUUGAUUGGGAGUUUAGUUGGGCCUACAGACCUGGUAAUCCGAAGCUGCUGAUGGCAGAAGAUAACCGCUGCUUCCACAUGGAGAUGAUUUAAUUGCAUCCCAAGCAGAGAAAUGUGAUGUUACGGUGAAUCUGAGCAGCCUUGUUAUUUAUUUUACCCAAUGGAGUUUAUUGAGUAUGUGUGAACAAAGCACAGCCCCUGCCCUCCAGGAGAGUUGAGUCUUGGAGGAGAUACAGACAAGGAAACAGCCAAUCACAAUACAGCAUUACAUACCAGGCAAGCACAGGGUUCCGGGGUCACAGCCUUGGGAGGUGGGCUAGAUGUUCUCCUUCUGUCCCUCCAGACGCACUCUGCACCUGCACCCACCCUGCUGCAUGCCCCAGGCUCACUCGAAGGACUGUGCCAACCGCCCUCCUCUGCCCUGUCUCUUCCAGUUGAGUUUUUGCCAGUGGGAUUCCCUGGCAGGAGGGGGAGGAGGUCAGCUUCCUCCCUGAUCAGCCACCAUGGAUCUGGGGCUGCUGUGGCUGUGGUCCUCUACUGAAGGCCACAGAGCCUGUCAGGAGGCCCCUUCUUACAGCUAUAGGUCUUGCAAAGUUCUGGUAGCUACCCCCUUCCCUUGUUCCUGUGGACUUAUGGUGGAACGAGGACUUGAGCUGCUGCUGCUAGCUGUUUCAUCACCCCUUGUUGGUGUCCUUUAAUCCAGCCAAACACAUUGUCAAUAGUCCCUUCUUAAACUCUCCUCAGUUACCCCAUUUGCAGGACUCGACUGUUCCGGCUGGGAACCUACCUGACUCACACAGGUAGGAAAGCUUCCUAGAGGGUUGCCAUUGACGCUGUUAUCAGAAGAAUGACUAGAAAUUAGCUCUAGUGCAGAAAUAUAUGAUUUCUAGGAGAUUUUUCAUAAACACUAAAAUAGCUCUCCAACCUCCUUUGCUACCUAUGGGACAUUUAGGAACUGGGUAAGUCCAGGCUGGGAAUCACUGGCCUAGAGCCUAAGAGGCUGCACAGACCCAAAUGUAGAGGCCUUGGCUUUCUGCUUGCAGACUCUAAGGUGGGAAGAGAGAAAGUCAGGGGCUGCCUGCACCAGAGGGGCACUUCCCCUCAGGGGCUCCCUGGGACAUGCGUGGGGGCCCUGCCAUUUCCAUUCCUUUCCCCAACCGGGCUCUGUCUUUUCAAAGAGCCAGCCUUGGGGGAGGCCGGUGAGAAUGAUGCCUGGGGAAAGAAUGUGCCCUGCUCUGUCAGGCUGAGGGGGACAGCUGCCUGAAAGAUCAGGUUUCAGAAGAAACAGGACUACCUCCUCCUGCAUAGCAGUCCGGGCUCCCGGAUGCCUGGACACCUGCUGAGGUCCCCUCCUCUGACCCCUCCCACUCUUCUCGGGGAUGGGAAAGAGCUGAGCCCAGCUGUGGGUCUGUCAUGCUCUCCCUCCCACUGCCUCUGGUCCCUCUCCCACUCCCUGUCACCUCCAAUUAGACAACUCACAUUCAUGCUUUUCAGAAUCUGGCCUCCUCACCAGCUUAAUUCUGCACCGGUCCAUGCCCUCUCCUGCAUCUCCCCCCAACCCCCACCAGCUUCUGGAGGCUUCCAUUUGAGAUUUCAUGCUGGCCUCACCCUCGUGUCUCUGUGGAGAACGCACUGCGCUUCUUCCUGCCAGGUCCGGGGCUCCGUCUCCCAUUCCUCUUUCAUCUACCUGAGACUCCAGGUCCUGCCAUCUUUGGAGGUUAGCCUAUGUCCCUCCGGCACCACCAACACCAGCACCUGCACCUCUCAUGAGGAGCUCUGCUACCCUGUAUUAUUAUGUAAAUAACUAGCUACUAUUAUUUUCAGUGCCUACUCUGUGCAGGCAAUUUGUCAUGCACCAUAACCCAACCAUGUAGGGUGCUACCAGCACCAUGUCACUGUUGAGGCCAUCAAGCCCACAGAGCUGGGAUCUUCCGUUUUGAAAGCCCUGGCUCUGAGCACUACACACACUGCCCUGUGGCUUCUCCCAGGUGCGCGGCAAGUCUCUGGGGUAGGGAGCGUCUGGUGCAGUUCUCGCGCUCCACUCGGGCUGCCCGGCAGCAUUGGGCACAUGGGCUGUUCACGGGGCAGCUGCAAUUCUCCAUUUAGCUUGAAUCAGUUCAUGUAGGGCUCUGCUCAAAGGCAGCCAUUCCCAGGAUACAAGCCAGAGUCCUGUUAGUGGCCCACGAGGCCCUGUGUGAUUGCUGCACGCACUGUGCCACUUGCCUGCUCUGCUCCAAGCACACUGGCUCCCAGAUGGGACUCCCAUGUUCCAAGCAUGCCCAGAGUCCCGCCAUGAGUAACUGGCAAAGCCAGCACCCAGGACUCCUGUCUCUGGCCAGAGCUCUGUCCACCACUUAAGACUGUCUCCCAACUGCCUGGUCCACAGGACCUUAUUUCCUGCCAGAGCCGAGGAAGCUGUAUCCUUGCUGCAGUGGCUCUGUUCCCACGUGAGCACCGUGGCCAUCGUGGACUCUCGCACCCUCCUGCUCCUGCAGCUAUUGAGGCCUCCGGGCCGGCCCCACCUCUCUCUCAGAACUGUGUCCCCUCCUCCUUUCUCCCCACACUCCCAGGCCCCAGGCACCCUAUCCUUCGGCUGCAUAUACCACUCCCAGGGGGAACCAGGACCCCUCGCCACCGGGCCUUCGCUGUUGCUGUUCCCCACUUGUUCCUGUCCAAGUCUUGAGGUUCUGUCCUAAUCACACCCACCUGCGAGCUGUUCCAGUCUCCCCUCUGUCCCUUCUCCAGUUGAAUAGCAGCCACUCUCCCUCCCUCUGCUGUUCUCCAUGGCCUGUUGAUUAUCCGUCUCCUCACCCUCAGCCCCCAUCUCUGCCAUCAGGCCACUUUUCUUUUUUUUUUCUUUUGAGAUAGGUUCUCGCUCAAUUGCCCAGACUGGAGUACGGUGGUGGGAUCUCAGCUCACUGCAGCCUCCACCUCCCAGGCUCAAGUGAUCCCCUCCCCUCGGCCUCCCAAGUAGCUGGGACUACAGGUGGCAUACCUGGCUAAUUAUUGUCUUUUUAGUAGAGAUGGAGUUUCGCCAUGUCGCCCGGGCUGUCCUCAAAUUCCUGGCCUCAAGUGAUCCGCCCACCUCAGCCUCCCAAAGUGCUGGGAUUACAGGGGUGAACCACUGUGCCCAGCCUGGCACCGUAUUUCUCAGCCUUUUGCUUAUGUGUAUUUCAGUCUCCACCUUUAGACUGUGAGACCCUAAAGGCAGAAAAAGGGUCAUGUACAUGUCAUGCCCCGUGGUGGCUGGUGCCCAGUCCAUACAUGCAGAUUUUAAAUAAUUCAGUGGAGUUGUCUGAGGGGGUAACUGAGGGCCAGACGAGAAAAGAAUUGCCCCAGGUCAUGAGGCAAGGUCCACAGCGCAUCUAAUCCCAGCAGGGAUGGCAAGUGCAGUUUUCAUUUCAGAGAAGCAGCCCAUACGUGUUUAGUGUAAGUGGCAAGCAGACUUGUAGGGCAGUCCCAUGACUCUUGUUUCUGGCCGUUACUAGUGCGAUUGUUAUGUCAUGUGACAAAAGAGAGAUGACCCGGAGGAGCCUACUAUGAUCUCAGGAAUCCUUCAAGAGCAGUUUUCUUUGGCCGGGGUGGAGGGGAAGUCAGAGAUGAGAAACGUGCUUUUGGAGAUAGCUUGGAGACACCUGGCCAGGAAUGUGGAUGGCCUCUGAAGCUGAGAACAGCCUCAGCUGAGAGGCAGCAAGCAAAGAGGGACCUCAGCCCUCCAACCACAAGAAAAUGAAUCCAGCCAGCAACCUGAAUGAGCUGGGAGCCGACACAUCCCAGAGCCUCCAGAAAGGAGCGCAGCCCCUGGACAUCUCUACUGCAGCCUGUGAGACUCUCCGCGGAGGACGCGGCUGAGCCAUGCUGACGUGCAGAACUUCCAGCUAUGGAAUUUGUGUUUAGGCUGUUCGGUUUGUGGUCAUUUGUUACAGAGCAAUAGAAAAAUAAUACAGUGAGUAUGUCUCAAAUAUCGCACAGGACAUGGACUGAAAAAGCAUCAGUCAAAUUUAACUGGGUCUUCUGUCAUUUUGUCUGCUAAAUCUGGCAACUUAAAUCCCAGGAAGGGGCCCAUGGACUUCGGACUGCAUCCAUGGCACAAAAAGAUGAAGAACCGGGCUAGAGGCCAGGCCCAGUGGCUCAUGCCUAUAAUCCCAGCACUUUGGGAGGCCAAGACAAGUAAAUCUCCUGAGGUUAGGAGUUUGAAACCAGCCUGGCCAACAUGCUGAAAAUACAAAAUUACAAAAAAUACCCUGUCUCUACUGAAAAAACAAAAAUUAGCUGAAUGUAGUGGCAGGUGCCUGUAAUCCCAGCUACACAAGAGGCUGAGGCAGGAGAAUCGCUUGAGCCCAGGAGGCAGAGGUUGCAGUGAGCUGAGAUUGCGCUACUGCACUCCAGCCUGGGGACAGAGUGAGACUGUCUCAAAAAAAAAAAAAAAAAAACAAAAAAAAAACAACUGGGCUAGAGGAGGCAAUGUGGCAUAAUGAAAGAAAAGUCAUAAAUAUCAGACAACCUGGGUGCAGAUCUUGGUUUGAAUGCUUAAUUGCUGUGAAAACUAGGUCAUUUAUUUACCCUUUUGAGCCUCAGUUUUCUCAUCUGUAAAACAGAGUUAUUGAGAGAAUUAAAGAAAUAAUAUAUAUGAACCACCUAGCACUGGCUGGUCCUCAAUAAAUGAAUGCUAC